rnacentral:lncRNA from 1 species
AGUCAUAUUCAUAUGCUUUGGCCAAAGACUCCCGAAUCAUAUCUUAGAGUAUUCUCCCUUCACCAUGGAAGGUUAGAGAUCCCUUGUUGUGCAUUCAUAUGCCUACAUGACUAGAUAUCUUGACCCCAACAAUGCCGUGGACACUCUCGAUGAAAUGCCUUUGACAUGAUUAAAGAUCAAAGACCUAAUCAUUAGACAUCUAUGAUGCCUCAGGUCAAAGGACUACUUUGCAUAUUGCAACUAACGAGUUCUUACAUGACAUGUAUGUUUGAACUCUCUUUUGAUCGUUGUUCAGUGUACUUGAUUACCCUUUCGAGCACCUACGUGUUUGUCUUAGUGUCCAACACUAAAUGACUUGAAACUAGUCAUACUCACGCUUGAGUUGACAUAACACAUACUAACCUUAGCGGAUUGUCAAUGCCCAAUUGGCAAUCCUAUGGCGAGGAACAUUUUAGGAAUGAACAUAAGAGAAAUGUCUCGUUAAUCUAACUUACUUAGAUCACUUCUCUUUCACAUUAAAUACUUUCCUUGGAUUCCCUUAUUGCUUAAACACAUGAUAUAAUAAAUAGUGAUUAACAAUAAGCUUUGCCCUUCAUUAAACAUAUAAUAGUAUAAUACAAUAAGUAUUCCAAAAGCUAUUACAUCAAAUGAGUGGCUUUGUGGACAUACUUCCAACAUUUUUAAGGUCUAAUUCGGGUAGAACUCCACCGGAGAACCGGGGGUUCUCGACGGCGAUUCGUCAUUUUGAUGUGAAAAUUACUUGACAUACAAAUUAAACCCUCUUUUUGACAAUUGUAGUAUAGAUGUAAGUAGGGUAUCGUUCUAGGCCGGGGAUUAGGAGGGAUUGUUAAUCUAUUAAAAAUAUUAAAUAAGACUCAAGGACACAAAACUAGGCUAAAAACUCUAAUAACUCGAACACACUUAGAAUGACUCAAAAUAAUGGAAACAAGCAAUUUAGACACUAGGAAUUGAAAUGGACGGAAAUUGAAUUAAAAGACUAACAACAAUGAAAACUAACUAAAUAAUAUAAUUUAAUAAUGGGGGGGUUUGGUUUUGACGAGAAGUAAAUUAAACUUAAAUAAAUUACAGAAUUGACAAAAGCAUGAAAUUAAGGUGAAAGGAUAUGUGACAGACUAGCUAGAAGGUUCUUCUCCACACAUGAUACAUAUGCAACCUAAAUUGAUUUUUCAGUUGUUCUUUCAAUAAAUUGUGAAUGACAAUGUUCCAAGUUAAUUAAGUCCGCUUAAAUUAACUCUUAGAUUUCCCUAGAUUCAUUGGAUUGAAUGGAAUACGCAUUACAACCAAAUUAUUUCUCAUCAAAGUCCCUAAAUAUGGAAUACGCAUGAUAGAGACAUUCAACAAAGAUCAUUAAGUUCAACGGAAAUCAUAAACAUUGACUAGGCAUUCAUAACUAUGGAAUACACAUGUUAAUCCAGCCUAGAAUUCACUAACAUGAUUGUGGAUAACAACCUUCACUACUUGUGAAUAUAAGUUCAUAACGAUUAGGUGAAAUUCACUUAUAUUCUAGCAUCAAAUUCAUGCAUGUAAAUUAAGUAUGCAUUCUUAAUCGACAUACAAAAAUAAGUUAUCAAUCAAGCAGUUAAGCAAAUUAAAUCACAACUCAGAAAUCAUAACUGAAGGUAAUCAAUUCAUAUUAAAAAUAUUCAUGGCUUUGAAUUAACAUCUAGCCAAAAUAAAAUUUAGUUACACAUUAUUAAAACAGAAAUAAAAUAUAAGUUUGGAAAGAUUUAACCGAGAGAGAAAACAGCUUGCUGCUUCUGUCUGUCUGUGUCUUUUCUGAUUAAAACUGCCCAAGGCAGCUUUGCUGCUUUCUUCACUGGCACUGUACUUCCCAUGCCUCCCCGCCAGACUAUCUCUCCCUUUUCCUGCACGCUGUCUCUCCCGUCUGUCCUCUUUCCUUAUUCUUUCGUUUCUGCUUUCUCUUUUUUCAAAGCUGCAAGGGCAGCUAAGCUGCUUCUCUCUGCGCCUUGCGUCUAUCCUCUCCGUGCUGCAAUCCCGCGCUCUCUCCCUCCUUAUUUCUUUUUUCUGCUCAAUUUUCAAGUAUUAAAAUUGUCCAUAUGUUGUAAUAUAAUAUAUGAAUGGUAGUGCUUUGCCAAUAAACCAAAUGAUGAAAAGCAGGAGCACCGAAAGCUCCUAGUGGAAAGACAUCUUUUAGCUGGACAUCUUUAUUUCCAUUCCUUUUUGAGUGGACAACUAUCUCCUUAUCUUCUUUUAGUAGACAGAUCCUAGUGGCCAACCUAAUUUCCACAGCUGUGUGCUAUAAUUGAAUAAAUUGACUAUUUGGAUAGUACUGAUUUGCUGAAUAUAACUUGUCAUCUAUUUAGGAUCUGGAUGAUCUGUCAGUUUUUUCCCAUCUUCUGCCCGUGUCUUUUAUUCUUCCACCUGCCAAACUCCACUUCAUAGUGGGCAUCCCAUGUUUUUCUCUUUUCUGUUUAUUAUUUAAAAAUCAUUUGUGCUAUUUUUAUUUUCUUUGCAUAACAGAUCCUAUAAACACAAAAAUAACGUAAAUAGCUCAAAAUAUAAGGAACUAACCAAGAAAAGACGAGUGAAUUUGAAGUAAAAAUAUAUAUAAAUAUGAUCCGAUCAAAUACCCCCAUACUUAGUUUUUGCUAGUCCUCGAGCAAAACAAAGAAAACAUGAAAAAGUAUAACAUGAAAAACAUUAGCUUCCCUCUAUGUGACGCUCAUAGAAUUUCAUUCAAGAAAACAAAUCAUCAAGAACCAUAGCUAGCAUCAAGGAACUAAUCCAAGUUCAUCUUCCUUAUUCAAAUAUUAGCAGUAAUCUUUGAAUCAUCCUUGAAGUGUAGUGUGUGAGAUAGUCAUGCUAAUGCAAUUUCAAAAUUUUUAUAUUUUUAAAAUCAUCAUAUGCAAACUAGCAACCUUCUCACGGGAUAUACACUCAAUCACACAUGUGUUUAGUUUAAAUGUGUUUCGCUCAAAGAAUCAAAUGUGAAAUUUCUACCAUAAGCUUGCAUAAAGAUCUCAUCUCCACAAUCAUAAUUGCAAAACUUAAAUCAAGAGGACUUUUAUUGGAUGUAAUGAGGUUUAGGGAGAGGGUUAUUGAAAUGAAAGAAUAGGAAAACACAAGUUCCAAUCUACAUUGCAAGCAAUUAUUUUCUUUAGAUUUAUAAGAACUCAAGCUUUCCAGCAAUUCUUCUAGCAUCUCCAACCACACCUUUAAACUGAAACUUGAACAACUUUUUAUUUUCUUUGUGUACAAUCUUUUUUUUUUUAAUACAAACAUGGGAUACCCCCACACUUAUUCUUUUGCCAAACACCUUCAAAGUACUUCACAAACAUUUCUCAUAAGACAAUCUCACAUUGCUCACUAGCUUGCUUGGAAAGGGUAAGGAAAAAUGUUUCAGGUAUAAGGGUAGACAUAUCUGGUGAUAAGAAAUAAAAGACUCAACAUAUACGGCUCAAAUUGGCAAUCUAAUGAUAUCAUUUUUAUUUGGGAAACAUGGUUAUUUGGGCCAUAGUGGUAAACCUAAUGCCUCUAUCAUUUCCAAGUUUAUGCAAUCAAUGACAAAUAUUUCGAAAGAUCGUUACGCAAGUUCUAGAGAUGUAUCUCACAUAAGUUCAUCACACAUGAAAGAAUAGGAGUGUAUGAAAAAUGCACACACUUUCAAUCGGCUCAAAAACUCACAUAGGAUGUAUAUGGUCACUAAAUUCACAUAUGAAGCUUUAAGUCAUACUUUAAUUUCACAUUAACAAGGCUAUGUGCAUUUGGUUUUUUCAAAGAUGGUCAAACAUGUACAAAACUAACAAGAGAAUUAGGAAUUUCACAAAACACAUGUUAACUAAGUUCUUGAUAAUCAUGAUUCAAAUUUGAUCCAAUUAUAUCAUUGGGUCGGGAAACUAACAAAAAUCUAAUUCAAAACAAUAAGGGAAACAAGACAAUAUUUUUGGAUUUUUAAAUUUUUGGAUUUUUUUUUAAUUUUUUUUUAAAGAAAACAAAACUAAUUAAGAAAACAAAAAGCAACAACAUGGCAACAAAUGAAACCCGUUCGUAGUUGAAGGUACAAAAAAUUUCAAUUUGGUCAUUUUUUAUACUCUUUACCCCCAAACUUAAACCGGACAUUGUCCCCAAUGUCAGAAAACACUAUAAUGCAAAUAAAAAUAAAAUAAAUAAAUAAUAAGAAACAAAAUAAAGCAAUUGGACUGAAAACUUCCCUAGUUUGCAGUAAAAUUAAGCGAUGACCCCCCAAGCUAAAAUUCUGCAAUCAACUUCAAGGGUGGAAAUAACCAAAAGUUCCUGCAAAGAAAAGAAAUAAUUCAGUUAAGUAACACAAGAAAAUGUAAAAAAAAAAAUUGCAAACGAAAAAUUGAAAAUCACGAUAAAAGACAAUGAAUAGAACUAAUAAGUGAUCAUUGGUCGUGCUUGUUGUCUUUCCACAGCUUUCCUCUUGAACUGGGUGACACUUAGCUUUUUACUUGCAAGUGAUGAUUUGAUGAUAUUGUACAGCGAGGCUUUGCUCUUUGGCGAAGGUGCCCUCCAAAUGUUGUUGAAGCUUAUCGAGUUCUUGGAUUUAACUCACACUCCUUUUUCUGAGUUCUUCGCUGCUUGUUUCUUCCAUAUGGUAGGCAGGCACAAGGUAGCUAUGUUGGUCUGAUUCUUUCUUCAAUCUUUCCAAGUGCCCACCUAUUUCUUUCUUUCUCCUUGUCCCUAGCUGAGGACAAAUUGGCAAAUUGUCUCCACAUGCUUCGAGGUAUCAUUUUCACCUCCCUUACUUGUCCUCCAAGUAGAUGUGGUAGACAAAACGGAAGCACAAGAUGAAGAAGAUGAGUACUCGAGAGCAAGGCUAGGUAAGCAAUCAUGAAGGGAUUCCAGGUAGUUGGCUCCAGAUCGGAAGAUUGAUACUUAAUGCUGGUUGAUUGCUCUCUUUCUCCUUGUCGUAUAACAAAGACAAGGAGAAGGACAUGGAGAAAGCAUGAUAUGAGAUACUCUUGCUUUCAACCUUUAUGAUAUGAAAUACUUUUUCUUUGAAUGGGUUGUUCGCAGGAGUAUCCCAAGGAAUGAGGAACACAUAGUAACUUAGGAGGAUUCUUUGGGAAUGCAUUCUCGGAGAUGAAGAAGUGCUGAGAGGGUGUGCCUUUGCUGUGGAAGGCGAAGGUAGAUACUUAUAGGAAUUUUCUUCACAACCGGAACUAUUCUCUCACUCAUUGUCGGCAGCCGGUGGAUGGAUGAAUAGUACAAAUUACGCGCUUUCUGACAAAGCUGCCCGUAAUUUCCGCAAAGCUACCAGUUGCAUGUGACGAGUGACAACACGUCUGGACAAAUUGAUCUUGCGAAAUCCGGGGUUCGGCUCGUGGUUUCUGAGCAAGCCCAACUUUUAAGAAAUGAAACGCCUCUUUUGAGAAAAGAAUCCGGCUUUUGAGAAAGGAAACUCCUCUUUUGAGAAAAGAAUCAGGCGUUUGAGAAAGGAGCCCCGACUCUUCGAUUUGCGAGAAGACGCCUCUUCAAUUUCUGAGGAGCGCCUCUUUGAUUUCUUCUUUUUAUAGAGGCGUUAAUUUUGUUCCACAACACACUUGAGCUCCCUCCUGUAAACACUCCCUUCUUGCACUUCCGAAAUCUUAAUCUGUCCGAUUUCUUCUUUCUUUACCAUUCUGAAAAUGUCUGGCCCUUCCGAUCGUCGUUUUGACUUGAACAUUGGUGAAGAGGUAGCUCCGCCUUCACCAGACAACAUAUGGCGCCCAUCUUUCAUAUCCCCUACUGGUCCCCUUACCGUUGGGGCUUCGGUGAUGAAGAAUGAUAUGACAGCUGCGGUGGUGGCCCGGAACCUUGUCACUCCUAAAGAUAACAGACUGCUUUCAAGGCGGUCUGAUGAAUUGGCUGUCAAUGAGUCUCUGGCUCUCAGUGUGCAGUGUGCAGGUUCCAAGUCCAACAUGGCCCAACGCCUAUUUGCCCGAACCCGUCAAGUUGAAUCGUUGGCGGCUGAAGUGCUGAGUCUCAAGCAAGAGAUUAGAGGGCUCAAGCAUGAGAAUAAAGAGUUGCACAAGCUCGCACACAGCUAUGCCACCAACAUGAAGAGGAAAAUUGACCGCAUGCAGGACACUGAUGGUCAAAUUUUACUUGAUCAUCGGAGGUUUGUGGGUUUGUUCCAACAGCAUCUGCCUUCGUCUUCUGGAGCUGCGCCGACUGCUGAAGCUCCAAAGAAUCAAUCUCUGUUGCCUCAUCCUUCUGUGGCCCCGCCGACUGCUGAAGCUCCGCCGAAUACUGAAGCACUACCUGACCAAUGAAUGCUAUUAAUUUACACAUCAUUGUAAAAUAUUUUUACUUUUAUGUCUUUUUUUUAAUAUGUAAAUUAAUGUAAAAGACUUUGUUUAACAUGCCCCCACACUUAAAUUAAAUAACACAAACUCACAGAAAUCAACCAAAUAACACAACUAACUAAACAAAACAAAAUGAAAGCAGUAAAGAUAAGGGUGUAAGUUGAAUGCUUGGGUUGCCUCCCAAAAAGCGCUUGCUUUAAUGUCCGCAGUCGGACGAAUCUUUCCUUUAAACUCCCCUCGGCUCCAAAGCAUGGAAUUUAUCUUUUAAUGGGAGGUGAUAUUUGAAAUGAUUCGGCAAUGGUUUAAAUUCAAGAGUGGGUGCCUGAAUCAUCAAAAUCAGAAACAUGUUAGUAUAAAUUAAAAUUAAAAUUGGAGAAGAUGGCUUACUUUCUUUUUCCGACACAAACUCAAUGACAAACACCACAUCUUUGAACAUUUCCGGGACUUUGAACUUGGCCAGGUUUACUAUGAUGGUUGUGGCUUGUCCCGUGUCAUCAAACUCAACUGCUUUGGGCUUGAUUGUCUCAUGCACAGCCUCUUGGAUGUAUUCUUGAUAUGCUUCAACCACUUCAUUUUCUUGAAUCCCUUUUCUUGGUGUGCAAGGUUCUUUGAACGUUUCAAUACCAUCGGGAACUUGUUUUGGUGCACCAAGAAUUGGGAUAUCACUUUGCACCUUUGGAAGAGCUUCCACAAUGUCUUUUUCACUCUCUUUGAUAUUUGGAAUAAAAAACCUGCAAGGAAAAAGGACAUUCGGUGGAAUAAUGUUAGAAUGAAGUGAAUUUAGAACUUCCUCACCUGAGUUGGAUGACAUAGGGAUUUGAGGAGCUUGCAGCAAGAAUUCUUCUAAACUGCCCAGGUCGUCCUCCUCCUCUUCUGCUUGCAGCAGCAAUUCAUCCAUGUUCGGGCAGUGUUUGGAUGGUUCUGGGAUAGCUUCAUCCUUCAUGUCACCUUCCAAAGCGAUGGCUUCAUCGAUUUCACUUUCUGCCUUUGACUUUGCAAUGUUUGAGUUGGAAAGUUCACUUUGAUCUCGAAUCUGUGCCAUGAGUUCCACAAUCUGCCCAACUUGCAUAUCCAAUUCGUCCACUAUUUUGACUCGGUUUUGCAUCUCCUGGUUUUGAUUUUCUACUCCCUGAUUCAAAGAGGUGAGUAACUUAUUAAGUGUAUCAUUAUCCAAGGACGUACCUGAAUUGAAUUGGGUUGAUUGUUGUGGUGGCUGUGACGGUUCAUAUGGCCACUGAUAGAACUCUUUCAAUGGCGGCAAUUGUUCUUCUUUUUGUGAACCCUGCGCCAAAGAAAUUAGUCCUUCAAGAAUUUCAUUAUAAUUCAUGGGCAUACUUUGAUUUGAUUGGAAUUGUUGUGGGGGAUGUUGUGGUGGUUGUAUAGGUGUGGUGUAGAACUCCUCAUAUGGCUGCCAAUAUGCAUCUUGUUGAGCCUCCUUGGCUUGAUUUUGUGAGCCCUGCACCAAACAAUUUAAUUCAUUAAGAAUUUGAUUAUAAUUUAUUGACGAACCUGAGUUUGAUUGAGCAUAUUGCAUAGGUUUUGAAUAGAACUCCUCAUCUUGCUGCCAAUAUCCAUCUUGUUGGAAUUGUUGAGGUUCCCCCCACAUAUAAUUUGAAUGAUCUCUCCAAGCCGAAUUGUAAGCGUUGGAAAACAUGUUGUUGCUUGGUUGAUCAUAGCCUUGAUAACCCCAAGCAUCUUCGUUCACAGUGAAUUGAGGAUGUUGAUGAGUUUGAUAUCCGUGCCCAUAAGACACACCAAAUGUAGGGACAUUUUGCAUUGUAGUCCUUCCGGCAAUCUGUGACAAUUGAGAAGUAAGAUUCGCCAAUUGAGCUUGAAUGUUAGCAAAAUCCAUGUCUUACUUCUCUCAAACCUAAAAUCAAAGAAAGAAAACUAAAUCAAAUAUCAAAAGUAAAAUAAACGAAACAAAAAAUCAGAAACGAAAAACAAAAGACACGAAAAAGAAAGAAAGGGGGAUUAGCAAUUUUGCUAAUCUCCGGCAACGGCGCCAAAAUUUGAUGUGAAAAUUACUUGACACACAAAUUAAACCCUCUUUUUGACAAUUGUAGUAUAGAUGUAAGUAGGGUAUCGUUCUAGGCCGGGGAUUAGGAGAGAUUGCUAAUCUAUUAAAAAUAUUAAAUAAGACUCAAGGACACAAAACUAGGCUAAAAACUCUAAUAACUCGAAACACACUUAGAAUGACUCAAAAUAAUGGAAACAAUCAAUUUAGACACUAGGAACUGAAAUGGACGGAAAUUGAAUUAAAAGACUAACAACAAUGAAAACUAACUAAAUAAUAUAAUUUAAUAAUGGGGGGGUUUGGUUUUGACGAGAAGUAAAUUAAACUUAAAUAAAUUACAGAAUUGACAAAAGCAUGAAAUUAAGGUGAAAGGAUAUGUGACAGACUAGCUAGAGGGUUCUUUUCCACACAUGAUACAUAUGCAACCUAAAUUGAUUUUUCAGUUGUUCUUUCAAUAAAUUGUGAAUGACAAUGUUCCAAGUUAAUUAGGUCCGCUUAAAUUAACUCUUAGAUUUCCCUAGAUUCAUUGGAUUGAAUGGAAUACGCAUUACAACCAAAUUAUUCCUCAUCAAAGUCCCUAACUAUAGAAUACGCAUGAUAGAGACAUUCAACAAAGAUCAUUAAGUUCAACGGAAAUCAUAAACAUUGACUAGGCAUUCAUAACUAUGGAAUACGCAUGUUAAUCCAGCCUAGAAUUCACUUAACAUGAUUGUGGAUAACAACCUUCACUACUUGUGAAUAUAAGUUCAUAACGAUUAGGUGAAAUUCACUUAUAUUCUAGCAUCAAAUUCAUGCAUGUAAAUUAAGUAUGCAUUCUUAAUCGACAUACAAAAAUAAGUUAUCAAUCAAGCAGUUAAGCAAAUUAAAUCACAACUCAGAAAUCACAACUGAAGGUAAUCAAUUCAUAUUAAAAAUAUAUUCAUGGCUUUGAAUUAACAUCUAGCCAAAAUAAAUUUAGUUACACAUUAUUAAAACAGAAAUAAAAUAUAAGUUUGGAAAGAUUUAACCGAGAGAGAAAACAGCUUGCUGCUUCUGUCUGUCCGUGUCUUUUCUGAUUAAAACUGCCCAAGGCAGCUUUGCUGCUUUCUUCACUGGCACUGUACUUCCCAUGCCUCCCCGCCAGACUAUCUCUCCCUUUUCCUGCACGCUGUCUCUCCCGUCUGUCCUCUUUCCUUAUUCUUUCGUUUCUGCUUUCUCUUUUUUCAAAGCUGCAAGGGCAGCUAAGCUGCUUCUCUCUGCGCCUUGCGUCUAUCCUCUCCGUGCUGCAAUCCCGCGCCCGCGCCCUCUCCCUCCUUAUUUCUUUUUUCUGCUCAAUUUUCAAGUAUUAAAAUUGUCCAUAUGUUGUAAUAUAAUAUAUGAAUGGUAGUGCUUUGCCUAUAAACCAAAUGAUGAAAAGCAGGAGCACCGAAAGCUUCUAGUGGAAAGACAUCUUUUAGCUGGACAUCUUUAUUUCCGUUCCUUUUUGAGUGGACAACUAUCUCCUUAUCUUCUUUUAGUAGACAGAUCCUAGUGGCCAACCUAAUUUCCACAGCUGUAUGCUAUAAUUGAAUAAAUUGACUAUUUGGAUAGUACUGAUUUGCUGAAUAUAACUUGUCAUCUAUUUAGGAUCUGGAUGAUCUGUCAGUUUUUUCCCAUCUUCUGCCCGUGUCUUUUAUUCUUCCACCUGCCAAACUCCACUUCAUAGUGGGCACCCCAUGUUCUUCUCUUUUCUGUUUAUUAUUUAAAACUCAUUUGUGCUAUUUUUA